GAUCCAUCCAAUUCCAGACCUCAUUGAAGGGUUGGCAGUAGAGGUGAGAGUGUCUUGCUCGGGAUUCCUGUGUGUCUGAGGCUUUCUGAAGGAAAUUAGGGUGAUGUCUGCAUUGGUUCUGUGUUUUGAAUUGCCAGUCUCGCUGGUCAUUGCCCUGAUAGUUCUGCCUGGUUACAUCGGUCAGUUUGUGCAAGGAUGUCAUAGGGCACUGUGCACCGCAGAGCGGAAUACAUUGGCCUUAAGAGAGAUAAGAAACAAUCCUCAGCCUGAGGGACUCCCCAAGGCACAAUUUCAGAUGAACUUUUCUUUUCUCUGAAAAGAAAAGUAAAAUAAGAAUAUGAGAGCAUGUGAGGAACCUUGUUUGGCCUGAGGUGUACAACAAUGGGGAUGGAGCAGCACUUUCCUCCUCCACAGCUCGUACCGCAUCUCUGAAGGCAGCUGUAGUAAUAGCUCCAUGUCAGGUUCUGGUCACUAUUACUUCUUGUAGUGUGCAAGGAAAUGUGAAUGCUCAGAAUGAAAAAAAAAUAGGUUGCUGCUUUAUAUUGGGAAUUAAGAAUCUAAGGUGACCUAUUGUGCUUGUUUGUUUUCAGACAGUCCUGUUUUAAAUCAAUGCAGUCCCUCAUCAGAGACUUUGAACAAGUUAUUCUGACACAUGAUUUUGCCACUGAAGCUGGUUAGUCAAAAUAAAGCAAUACAAAACAUCCCUAAAUCCUUUUGAACUAGGCUGUAUUGAUUUAAAAUCUUUACAUAAAGAUAAAUUACAUUAUUUCUAAAGUUUAUUUUAAUUGUAUAAAUGUACUUUGUGUAAGGUUCCUGUACCUAUUGGCUUCUCUGUAUCAGUAAAUAAGACCCAUGCUAGUUUCAGUGCAAACUAAGCAGGUCUGUGGCACAGGCACAGAUGAUGUCCUGUUGUCACCUUGGCAGUUCAGCACUGCCCAGCCCAGCUCUGCUCAGGCUCCGGGCCAGCAGUGCCUGGGCAUGGUUCAGAGGACAGCCCAGAAUAGCAGGCAGUAUGAAUGAAGCCAACCCAUUUAGGGUCAGAAAAGAAAUUUGGCUGUAUUGGUAUCAGCUGUGCCUCUCAGCCAGUCUGCAGAGCUGAGAGCUAUGGUUUCUUUCAUUUUCUAGUGCAUUAUCUCCUUUUCCUUUCAGUCAGACACUAAUCCAGAGUGAUUCAUGAGGUUUGCCAAUGUUUGAGGGUGCUCAUGUUGGACUAUUUGUCAACUGGAACUAUAUAUUUGCUUUUUUAAAUCUAAAAAGUACAUUAAUAGUGCUUUUAUGUAUUAGCAUAAUGGUUCAGAUAAGGCAAUAAAUGAUACAGUU
ensembl:lncRNA